GGGUAAAGGCAUUUGCGGUGCCAUUUCUCCCCGAUUAGUUUAAUUUUCUUUCUUACAACAAGCCAACCGGCAGCAUGGGCUGGUCAAAAUGUCGCAUCAGGACUUCUUUGCCCUGAGUCUUCUCCUGAAUUCGGCGCUUCCUCCCCCAGGGGUGUCUGAAACCUAAACCCAGGUUACUCCUUUCAAAUGACUCCUCUAUUUCAGCAGCAAGCAGCAGGCUGACCGGCAUCUCUGGUUUUAAACAGAGCUGGUGAAAGUAUUUAUCACGCUUUAUUUGUUGCAGCUGGGUUUCUGGGUAUUUGUGCCGGCUGCAGGCAGAGGGACUGAUCCUGGAAGGAAGCUCAGUGCCAAGCCCUCAUCCCAUUUACAGAUCCAAGUGCUGUACCGUUCCUGGAUGAGAUUUCAGCUUUUCCAGAUGUGGAAGAAGCAGGAAGACCCCUGAAAUCUUUGCUCAGGUGUCUCAGAACAAGAACUGAACCAGCCCAAAGGCCACAGAACCACAGCUCGCCAGCACAACUUGGGACUGGAGCAUCCCUCAGCCCCAGUGGGGUGGAGCAGUGUCAGCAGGGAAGCUGGGACCUGGCUGCACCACAGUCUCCUUCCUAAGCAGUAAGUAAUGCCCCUAAGAUAGAGGUUUUCCUGAUGACAUUCAGAAGCUGAGAUGCUGUUGCAUGUAUGGCAACAGUGGUGCGGUCCCCUCCGUCUGUUCCCAAAUCCCAGUGUCCCCGCACUGAGCUGGGUCCCUGUGGGAACACAGUGCUUUCCCCCAGUGCCACCAGCGGUACUGUAGGACCCGAGCAGCCCUUGCUCUGCUAGCACUGCUGUUCCCUAUGGCAAACCAAACUGUGGCUAAAGGAGUAUUUAGAUACCCAGGGCUGCCAAUUGAGAACUUCCCUAAAACCAGCAGUAAAAUUUGCCUCUAAUUCCUUUUUAGGGAAAGCAGGCUGUAGCAUUAAGUCCCAUUUUCUAGGCAUUAAAAGUUUACAACCCGCACCAUUAAAAGCAGCAUUCCAUGUCCAACUUGAUGUUUGGUCUUCAGGAACAGCUAGGAAGAAAAGAGAAGGUUCCCUGUUUGUUCUACAAAACAGGAAAGUGGCUGCUUUCUAUAUUGUAAAUAUGCAUUAGAAAGCUCUUAUAGGCUCGUGCUGGGGAUUUGAUGUUUUUAACUGACUACAUUCCUUACAUUUUUGUCUAACUGCCAAGAAAGCGAAAUAAAAUGGCUUUUUUAGUGUUUCCUCUAAGAAUAGCCCUGCUUCUUUGUAAAUAUAGCAAAGGAAUUGUUGAUAAUAAUUCUUUGGGAGAAUAACUGGUGUUAUUGAUGUUGAAAGUAGAAAGAUUGCUGUUUCUGUCUCAGAAAUAGAGCUAACCAAGUGAGCCUGAGCAUUCCUUAGCCAGCUCCUGAGAUGGGGCUGGGUUUGUUCCUGUUCCAGGAGGUGUCGAACCCAAGAAGCCUGGCACCAGAGCCCAAGGCUAGGAAAAAUAAAUAAGAUUUGCUUUCUCUUUCAGAGCACAACCCUGAACUUCUUCCCUCUUUGCUCCC